GGCUAUGCCGCUUCUCCCGACCGGGCCUGAGACCGUGUCCGAUCUUUGUGUAGCACAUGAUUAUCUAGCUCUCUGCUCCUGGUUGGACCGACUUUUGUGCGUGGCUGGUGCGCGGAUGUUGCCGUGAUAAGUGAAACUGCUCUGACUGCCGAGUACGAGUGAGCUUCGCAGUCCUGAUUACCUUAGAUAAGUGGCGGUAAUGAGCGCUUCCUUAUGGCGACGAGUGGGUGCCUCGUCUGAAACGAAGACCAGCCUCACUGGAACCUAUACUCAGCCCGAACUCCCUCAGAAGGCAACUGUGAGAAAUUUUCCGCCAUGUUCCAAUGACCUUGAUGAUCACUCCCGCCUCGAGGAAUGAAUAGCUCUCGGGUUGUAAACCUCUUUUCUCAUGGAAGAACACGAUGACGGUAACCUCACUGAUCAUCACUGCGCUAGCUCCGUGCCUGGAGCCACCUCAAUACGCACCAUUCAUACGUCCUGCGGAAUGAGUUGCCCUACCAGCGUUCACCCGUGUUUUUGUUACUCUGCUGUCUCAGACUGCAACUAAACUUUUUUCUCCCAUUUCAAGAGCCACCCCCUAGUCUUCUUUCUGGUCAGAGAGUGGUUCCUGGUGUACCCGUGAAAUGCGUAUAGAUCAGGAAGAACACCGGUGGCGAAAGCGCUCUGCUAGGCCCCAACUGACACUGAGGGACUAAAGCCUAGGGGAACCGAAUGGGAUUAAAUACCCCAGUUUUCCUAGCCUGUAACUAUGGAUACUCAGCCUUGGCUUUGCUCCACCCCUACCCCUGCCCCUAGCCUACACGUUUAUUAUCCCUCCCUGGGUAGU
rnacentral:rRNA from 1 species